AUUGAACGCUGGCGGCAGGCCUAACACAUGCAAGUCGAGCGGCAGCGGGUCCUUCGGGAUGCCGGCGAGCGGCGGACGGGUGAGUAAUGCCUAGGAAUCUGCCUGGUAGUGGGGGAUAAGGUUCGGAAACGGACGCUAAUACCGCAUACGUCCUACGGGAGAAAGUGGGGGAUCUUCGGACCUCACGCUAUCAGAUGAGCCUAGGUCGGAUUAGCUAGUUGGUGGGGUAAAGGCUCACCAAGGCGACGAUCCGUAACUGGUCUGAGAGGAUGAUCAGUCACACUGGAACUGAGACACGGUCCAGACUCCUACGGGAGGCAGCAGUGGGGAAUAUUGGACAAUGGGCGAAAGCCUGAUCCAGCCAUGCCGCGUGUGUGAAGAAGGUCUUCGGAUUGUAAAGCACUUUAAGUUGGGAGGAAGGGCAGCUAGUUAAUACCUGGUUGUUUUGACGUUACCAACAGAAUAAGCACCGGCUAACUUCGUGCCAGCCGCCGCCGUAAAAC
rnacentral:rRNA from 1 species